UGGAGCUGCGAAUGAGUUGGCUUGGAGAACAUUAAAUCUUAGAAAAAAAUGUUUAGCAAAAUUUUGGACCCUGGGGACACUAGAUAUUUAGCCUGUGAUCUGCAAUCAUUCGUACAUAAUUUACUCUGUAUUGUCUUGGACCAACAAUGACUUUUCUAGAGAUUAGGGAUCUGUUCAUCUGCACACACACCUGAAAUGGAAAUGCUAAAAGUAAUAAGGAAGUUAUUUCUUAUUUUCAAAUUUUCGUCUUUGACCUAACUGAAGAAUUGACUACCAUAGAUAUUAAUGAUUAACGAUGCUCACCAAUACGCAGAUUUAAACACGGCCUAUGAUGACUUUGAAAAUAACAAUGUGAAACCACUGUUUUUACAGAUGGCAGCACUGUCAUCCAGGGAGGUCGAUGGAAGUAGUGAGUGACAUUCCAGCACCUGACACCCGACAGGAAACAGGAUGCAUCUAACCCAGAGGCCAGUCUCGAAGGCCCUGUGUUUCACUCCCGUGAUUUCCCGCAGACCCAGUCCCUCCACGCGCAGUGGGACCUCACUUGACGUGAAAGCCAUCGAAACUCAUCUGCCCUGUGUCCCGCUCAGAACCUUGAUGGUUGACUAAACGAACUCAUCGGACGUGAUCAUUCUUACCUUCGAGGACGUGUCAGAGGUUUAACACAGGCCUCCUGGGAACAAGAUGCUUUAGCUCGGGCGUGAGUCUCUGCUGCCGGUGGAGACUUCUGGCUUCAUGUCCUGUCGAGGAAGGUGCCUCACGUUUGGACUCCGGGUUUAAGGCCUCCAGACUGAAGAGGCGCUCUCAACUCCUGACUUUCAAAGCCAGCUGCAUGUCCCCUGUGUGCUUCCUGUGUCCAAACUUAAUUUUAAAUAAACUGUAGUAACAUAGUAAAUAGGACUGACCUGCGCCAGGCACUCCCGUGACACGGCAGAAAAUUAUGUAUUUAACCCCCAUCCCAACCCCCAAAGGAAGGACUGCCAGUGAAGUGUGCGCGAGUGUACACAGAUCUGUGUGUGGAUAUAUAUAUGUUCACGCAGAUAAAGACAGGCAGUUACACAUCCAUCUCUCUCUCUAAAUAGGCCAUCACCAGAAUACCAAACGAUGCUUGCACUGUGGAAGCAGAAUAAGUGUUAACAGAGAAGGCGAGAAUGGAUAAGACCCAUUACAGUUUUCAAAGACUUUCAUUCUAGCUUAACUUUGACCCAACUUGCCUGUAACUCUCCCCCAGACAGACUUCCUUUAAGGGGAAGGAGUUCCUUAACACAAAACGCUUUGUGUUGACAUAAAUCUGUACUACUCAGAACGAAAUCGGCUCUGCGGGUAGAGAUGGUGGGCUCGCAGGGACCUGUAAGCUUUCAUUAAACUGGGAAGCAAUCAAGUCUUAUGCCUACAAAUUAUACCUUUAAUAGUUCCACAAACUUGGCACAGUUGGUGAUGACAUCUAGGAUGUUUUCACCAAAUUGUAGACAUAGAUAUGGAAAUCAUCAUCAAACUUGAUGAAACACACCGACGGUCUGGCCUCCACCUGGUGGAUGACCAUGCCAGUCCUCAUGGAGCCAUCUUCUUUGGCGUAUUCCACCUGUUUGCCGACCAGGCUGUCCGUAACUGCUCCUGGUUCCCGUCCUGCUGGAGGCGAGUCCUUGGGCUCCGGCAUGAUGCGAAGGUCGCCUUCUCUGUAGUCAUCUAAGAGCUGGUACAUGUACAGGACCGGAUCCUUCUCGUAGGUGAUGUAAAACCACGUGCUCAUGGUGGGGGCGCGCGCCAGGACCGUUCCCCUCCACUGGUCCCGGGCGCCGUCCUCGCCCUCGAAGGUGUGCUUCACGGCCUUGCCCACCAUCCUGUCGGCCAGGUGGGCCUCGCCCACGGGAGAUGGCGCAACCCUGUCGGCCAGGACUUCCAGCGCCGACACGCGUUCGUCCCUAUUGAGCUCCAGUCCGUAGACACAGUCGAACCCGUCGUACUUUAUGAGAUACAGGGCGGGGUUCACAGGCACCUGGUCCAGGACGGUGCCCCUCCACUGGGU
rnacentral:lncRNA from 1 species